rnacentral:ncRNA from 1 species
GCCACCACCGGGGGGAGCCGGCGUAUCCGGCUGAGAGGUCUCCGUCCUCGGGAGACGACCCCUAGCAUCCGCUGGAACCUGAUCCGGUUAGCACCGGCGUAGGGACGUGUGAGGACGUAUGAC